rnacentral:rRNA from 1 species
CCUACGGGUGGCUGCAGUCGAGAAUCAUUCACAAUGGGGGAAACCCUGAUGCUGCGACGCCGCGUGGGGGAAUGAAGGUCUUCGGAUUGUAAACCCCUGUCAUGUGGGCGCAAAUUAAAAAGAUAGUACCACAAGAGGAAGAGACGGCUAACUCGGUGCCAGCAGCCGCGGUAAUACAGAGGUCUCAAGCGUUGUUCGGAAUCACUGGGCGUAAAGCGUGCGUAGUCUGUUUCGGAAGUCGGGUGUGAAAGGCGGGGGCUCAACCCGCGGACGGCACAUGAUACUGCGAGACUAGAGUAAUGGAGGGGGAAGAGGAAUUCUCGGUGUAGCAGUGAAAUGAGUAGAUAUCGAGAGGAACACUCGUGGCGAAGGCGGGUUCCUGGACAGUAACUGACGCUGAGGCACGAAGGCCAGGGGAGCGAAAGGGAUUAGAUACCCGUGUAGUC